UCUGACGUUUUUCAUACAAGAAAUCGUUUGCUUUUCACUGUUUUAACAAGGUUUCUCUGUGAUAAAAAUGCGUUGAGUUUUCUAUUUUUCGAGGGUGUCAAAUUGUCAUGUUGCUUGGCCUUUACUGCAAAGUUCAAAUCAACUUCCACUGUCUACAUAUUGCAACCCUGUUUUUUCUAUCAACAAUGAAUGUCUCACGGCUUGGUGAUUCAAUUAAGCGCUUUCUUGGCCUUAUGGCCUGUUGUAGAACUUUCGCCUGAAGGAAUGCUUUAAAACACCUUGCUGAGGAGUUGCAAUGAAAUGCCUGUAUUCAAGACAAAGUGCCCGUUGACAAGUUACCGCAAGUUAGCACUAGAAAUUCAAGCAUUUUUGGCUUGGCUGAGCGUUGAGGGAAACAAUCCAUCACUUCAAUGUGUAAUAACGAAAUAAAGUCAAAAUGUCUAGGCCCUCCGGUGAACUGACAUUCAGACUUUGCAGAGUUACAAUCUUUAUACUGCAUUACGGUCUGACAGACAUAUCAAACGUAUUAAAAAGGAGGCAAAAUAAA